ACGGUCAAGGCAACGAUGCAGAACUUCACUCAGAACCGGCUGGAUACAGCAAGAGCAGAAUUCCAAGAAAUGGAAGAAAAAAUGGAAAAGAAUCUGGGAAAACUACAGCGGCAGCUGGAUGAAGCCACUUCAAAGGUGCAGGUUCUCCAGGAUGAACUUCACGUGCUGCAGAACUACAUGGACAGGGAAUAUCCAGCAAAAGCUGUCCAGAUAGCCUCUCUGCUGCACAAGAUCCAGAACCUCAAGGAGCAACAGCAGCAUGAGAUAGAUGAGACAGAAGCACUGGGGAAAGCCUUCCUGGAGGAACUGGAAGUGAAACUGCGGGUGGAACAGGAGGAGAUAUUAGACAGAGCCGUGGAGGUUGGUGGAGUUCAUUUGCUUUCUCAGCAAGAGGGACCAGUUUCUGGGAGCUGCCAGACAGCGCAGGGGAUUCUAGACUUUGCCCAUUAG
rnacentral:lncRNA from 1 species